rnacentral:tRNA from 1 species
GUCAGGAUGGCCGAGUGGUCUAAGGCGCCAGACUCAAGCUAUGGCUUCCUCGCUCUGAGGGUUCUGGUCUCCCCUGGAGGCGUGGGUUCGAAUCCCACUUCUGACA